UGCAGUCGGACGGCAGCGCGGGGGCAACCCUGGCGGCGAGUGGCGAACGGGUGAGUAAUACAUCGGAACGUGUCCUGGAGUGGGGGAUAGCCCGGCGAAAGCCGGAUUAAUACCGCAUACGCUCCAUGGAGGAAAGCGGGGGAUCUUCGGACCUCGCGCUCAAGGGGCGGCCGAUGGCGGAUUAGGUAGUUGGUGGGGUAAAGGCCUACCAAGCCGACGAUCCGUAGCUGGUCUGAGAGGACGACCAGCCACACUGGGACUGAGACACGGCCCAGACUCCUACGGGAGGCAGCAGUGGGGAAUUUUGGACAAUGGGGGCAACCCUGAUCCAGCAAUGCCGCGUGUGUGAAGAAGGCCUUCGGGUUGUAAAGCACUUUUGUCCGGAAAGAAAUCAUUCCUGUUAAUACCGGGGGUGGAUGACGGUACCGGAAGAAUAAGCACCGGCUAACUACGUGCCAGCAGCCGCGGUAAUACGUAGGGUGCGAGCGUUAAUCGGAAUUACUGGGCGUAAAGCGUGCGCAGGCGGUGAUGCAAGACCGAUGUGAAAGCCCCGGGCUCAACCUGGGAACUGCAUUGGUGACUGCAUCGCUGGAGUAUGGCAGAGGGGGGUGGAAUUCCACGUGUAGCAGUGAAAUGCGUAGAGAUGUGGAGGAACACCGAUGGCGAAGGCAGCCCCCUGGGCCAAUACUGACGCUCAUGCACGAAAGCGUGGGGAGCAAACAGGAUUAGAUACCCUGGUAGUCCACGCCCUAAACGAUGUCAACUGGUUGUCGGGCCUUCAUUGGCUUGGUAACGAAGCUAACGCGUGAAGUUGACCGCCUGGGGAGUACGGUCGCAAGAUUAAAACUCAAAGGAAUUGACGGGGACCCGCACAAGCGGUGGAUGAUGUGGAUUAAUUCGAUGCAACGCGAAAAACCUUACCUACCCUUGACAUGUACGGAAUUCUGCCGAGAGGUGGAAGUGCCCGAAAGGGAGCCGUAACACAGGUGCUGC
rnacentral:rRNA from 1 species